rnacentral:lncRNA from 1 species
GAGAGAGUAAUUCAAUUCCAAAAUGAAAUAGGAAGGUAAAGACAAUGAUGAUUUUCUAAGAACUAAAAGCCCCUAUUUAUAUACAUUGGGUUUACUAAAAAUAGCUUAACCUAAAUUAAUAAAAUAAAAUAAAAUAAAAUAAUAAAACAAGACAAAAUAAUAUAUUCCUAUUUUUAGCUUUUUACAAAGUCAAAAUAUAUGAUAAAUCCUUGGCUUUCUCCAUCCUUUUCAGUUAGCCCCAAUUCAACUAUUUGUCUUUCAAUUUGGCCCCUUUUUGCUCGUUU